rnacentral:rRNA from 1 species
GAUGAACGCUGGCGGCGUGCCUAAUACAUGCAAGUCGAGCGAACAGACGAGGAGCUUGCUCCUCUGACGUUAGCGGCGGACGGGUGAGUAACACGUGGAUAACCUACCUAUAAGACUAGGAUAACUUCGGGAAACCGGAGCUAAUACCGGAUAAUAUAUUGAACCGCAUGGUUCAAUAGUGAAAGACGGUUUUGCUGUCACUUAUAGAUGGAUCCGCGCCGCAUUAGCUAGUUGGUAAGGUAACGGCUUACCAAGGCAACGAUGCGUAGCCGACCUGAGAGGGUGAUCGGCCACACUGGAACUGAGACACGGUCCAGACUCCUACGGGAGGCAGCAGUAGGGAAUCUUCCGCAAUGGGCGAAAGCUUGACGGAGCAACGCCGCGUGAGUGAUGAAGGUCUUCGGAUCGUAAAUCUCUGUUAUUAGGGAAGAACAAAUGUGUAAGUAACUAUGCACGUCUUGACGGUACCUAAUCAGAAAGCCACGGCUAACUACGUG